UACGUAGGGGGCGAGCGUUGUCCGGAAUCAUUGGGCGUAAAGAGCGUGUAGGUGGACUGGAAGGUCUGGUGUGAAAGCCCGGGGCUCAACCCCGGAGGGUCACUGGAAACCAACAGUCUUGAGUCCGGAAGAGGAGAGUGGAAUUCCUAGUGUAGCGGUGGAAUGCGCAGAUAUUAGGAGGAACACCAAUGGCGAAGGCGAGCUCUCUGGUACGUGACGUGACACUGAGACGCGAAAGCGUGGGGAGCGAACAGG
rnacentral:rRNA from 1 species